GAUGAACGCUGGCGGCGUGCCUAAUACAUACAAGUCGAGCGAACAGAUGAGGAGCUUGCUCCUCUGACGUUAGCGGCGGACGGGUGAGUAACACGUGGAUAACCUACCUAUAAGACUGGGAUAACUUCGGGAAACCGGAGCUAAUACCGGAUAAUAUAUUGAACCGCAUGGUUCAAUAGUGAAAGACGGUUUUGCUGUCACUUAUAGAUGGAUCCGCGCCGCAUUAGCUAGUUGGUAAGGUAACGGCUUACCAAGGCAACGAUGCGGAGCCGACCUGAGAGGGUGAUCGGCCACACUGGAACUGAGACACGGUCCAGACUCCUACGGGAGGCAGCAGUAGGGAAUCUUCCGCAAUGGGCGAAAGCCUGACGGAGCAACGCCGCGUGAGUGAUGAAGGUCUUCGGAUCGUAAAACUCUGUUAUUAGGGAAGAACAAAUGUGUAAGUAACUAUGCACGUCUUGACGGUACCUAAUCAGAAAGCCACGGCUAACUACGUG
rnacentral:rRNA from 1 species